CUGAUGGAAGUUUGUAAACUAUAUAAACCCCAGGGAGUAACGGCUAAAACAAAGUUGCAGAGCUGGGGUCUCACCCUACCUCCAUCUUCAAGCUCCAAGCUCCUUACAUUCAGAAACCGAUCUUUAGGCAUGAAGAAGCAGCCAGGAGCCACAACCAAAGGCCUCAGAGAGUUCUAGCUUGGCAUCUUCCAGAGGGGCCUUGGUUCUUCCGUUCUGCAAAUGAUGUCGUGCCCCUUUUCUCAGUGUGGAGGUAGAGAGCUUAUUAUCAUCCAGGCCUGGUCCUGACCUGAGGUAGCUUCCUAGGGGAAGUGUACCUUACACAAGGGAGAAUUCAAACAGGAUGUUUCAAGAGAAUUGUCAGUGCAGUAAGGAACACAAAAUGGACCUAAGAAUAAAGGCAUCUGUGAUGGUUUGUAUAUUCUUGGGCCAGGGAGUGGCACCAUUUGGAGGUGUGACCUGGUUGGAGUAGGUGUGUCACUAUGGGUGUGGGCUUAAGAUCCUCACCCUAGUUGCCUGGAAGUCAGUCUUCCACUAGCAGCCUUUGGAUGAAGAUGUAGAACUCUCAGCUCUGCCUGUGCCAUGCCUGCCUGGAUGCUGCUGUGCUCUCACCUUGAUGACAAUGGACUGAACCUCUGACUGAACCUGUCUUUAACUGACUGCGUGAGACCCACCCACAUUGGGAGGUAAUCUGCUGUACUCAUACUGUCUAUUCAAGUGUUAAGCACAUUCAGAAACAGUUUCAUGGGCACACCAAGGAUAAUGUUUAACCAAAUAUCUGGAUACCCGCCACUCCAUGGAGAUGAGACAUAACAUGGCUUACCACAGUGGGUGAUGGUUCCUCUCUUGAGGUUUGAGUGCUGUUUCCCCCAUGAUCCAACUCAAAGUCUUCACUGCAUUCUGCAAGGAGUGCAGUUCAUAAACAGUGUUGUGCGUCUCUCAAGUUGCACACCAGCAGGUCAAUUUGAAGAUUGACAUCUUCAUCAUAUUGAUCUUCUGGUCCAUGAAGACUGGCCUAUGUGUGACUUUGCCUACGGUUUCUUGACUCUGGCUGGCUGGCAUUUUAUACUCUCCAGUCUGUAGCUGCUGAAGUACCUGUAUUAAAUGUAAUCUUAGGUGUUGGCUUGAGACUACGUCCGUUCAGCCUUUAUUCCUGUUGAAUAGUUUGGUGCAUUGAUCCUAUCGGACGGCCAGUCCAUCUUUGGCUGCACAGGAGGGGAGAACAGAGUCCCAUACUGUGGUACAUUCCGCACUGCUGAGAUGCUCUGAUUAUUCCAUGCACAUUAUUGGACAUUUGAGUGACGUUGAGUCAUUUCAACCUAAUGAACUGAUUGGAAGCUGACUCGCCCCGAGACCUGCUCUCUUCCCAUGCGCCUGUUGGGUAACCACCAGAGAAGACUGCUCAGGCAUGAAUGUAAGCCAGUAGAAAGUCUUUGUUAGCUGGUGGGCACGUACACUGGGGGUUCAGGAUCUCAGUGUAGCCCCAGCCUCUCUCUGGUGAGCUUUUACGUACAAAAGCCAUGUCCUGGGUUAAGAAGAACACACAUCAGUUAACAAGAACAGUUAGCCAGAUGCAGAACUACAGAAGCCAAACUGCAAGGUUAGUCCAUUUAGAGACUUUCAGGGAACUGUAGACUUUGAUGGAUUGGGCCUUUGGUUUCAUUUUGGCAGGUGGUUCUGUCUCCCUGCUGUUUUACAGCCUGAGUGGCACUUCCACUAUGGAGUCAGUCAUGCUAAAGUCAGGGGCCCUGUUAACGGUAUCUUCCGUGUUACUUUUAUGAAACAUUUUAAGCUGCUCACACUCUAGUUGGUUUGACAACAUGUCUUGCCUGUCUGCAGUAUGCAGGUCACUAGACUUGGUGGUGAGCCUUGGGUAGUCUUCAAAGUGCUGUGAACGCAGCCUGAUGUCUUCAACCAAGCUGGCUGUGUAUUUGGCCUCCUAGUUUCUCAGGGAUACCUUCUCUGACUCAGCUCUGUUUUGCUGUCUGGUGGGUUUCUAUGAAGCAUUUUCUCUGCCUCAUUUCUCAUAUUCAGAUCUUGUCUUUGUUUCCUAGUUUCUAUCGAGUAGAACAGAGUUUUCUGUUUUGUGUUGUUUGCUAAAAUGGGUUCUGUGUGGGAGGCAUUACUUUAGAUUUUUUCCCCCCUGAAGGCUUUUUUAAAAUGAGUCCUUCAAUCCCACAACCAUUUUUAAUUAGGGUGUCGGGUCCUGGGGAGGGUCCCUGGGUUUCACCUUCCUUGAAGAAAAUGCUUAGUUUAAGAAACUAUUUGAAACUUAAAAUUUUGUUAGCUCAGGUCCUCACACUCAGCUUUUUAAGUGAGUUCUGGGGCCUAGAACUCGAGUAUUCACGCUUACAAGGUGAGCACCGACUAAACCACUGCCCUAAACCGUUUGUUCUGGGAUCGCUCUAUUUCCUUUCAAUUCUGCUUGAAAACUGAACCAUUGCUUCUUUAGCAAAUCUCUCUUUUUGCAUACCACAGAAAGCUACACAGAACAAAGAAGACAUUGUCAACAUUCUUUCUGAGGACUUUCCCAGCCAUACUAGUAACUAACUAAAUGCUCUGUGUACUUCCUAUAACUAGAGGUGACAACUUAGCAGACUUUCUACAACUACAUGAUGCAGGUGGCUUUUUUCCUUAGGUUCCAACAGAUGUCUUCUUUGCAUCUUUCCAGCUGUUCCGGGAGUCUUGGAUAGACCCCCCUACCAGCCAUUUGGUUCCCAAAGCCUCAUUUCGUUGGAACAUUCCAUUCCCUGUAGCAAUCGUCCUUUGUUUGUUGCGGCAUAACAAAUUACUUCACGAAUUUGAGGUUUAAAAACAACUAUUUAUUAUUUCUCAUGACUCUGCGGGUUGACUUGGCCUGUUUCCUGCUUUACAUUCGGCAUCUGUCGGGCAGAAAGAGUUGAGUCUCCAACACUGGCUCGCAUACAUGCCCCAUGCCUGGGUUGGGGGUGGCAGAAGAGGUGGCCUCCGCUGGGCUGCUGGCACACUUGGCCGUUCUCCCUGCUGCAUGCAGACCUAGGCCACCUCCUUCCCACAGCUCCUCCCUUCAUGGUGGCUCCAGUGUAAAUGGUGCUUUCGUUCCCAUGGCCCGCUGCUUCCCUGUGAGGCUUUCUUCGGUCCAUUGUCUCUUGGCCACCAAUAAAAGAAGCAACAGGCAAAGAAUGGGGCCUCAGAGACCUUUCCCGUCUCUGCUUUAGAUGUCCUCUAUGGUGUUUUGAAAACAGCUUGCAUCUUUCUCAGUGACUGAUAUUGGAGACAUUUUUGGUAGUCUUACCACUUCCUGAAGUGGGUGAGCAAAGGUGACAGGAGAGGGAAUGGGGAUGUAUGUGGGUGAAUUUGUUCAGAACUCUAAGAAAAGUGUUGAGGGCUUGGUUAUGAUUAGCAACUGCAUGAUACUUUUGGUAUUAUUGCUCUCCUUUUAGAUCUAAAAAUGUCAUCUGCUUACACAUCUUACUUUAAAAUUGAUAAAUCCCUUUAUCUUUAGCUUCCUAACAUGCCCUAAAGAUUGAAGAAAUAUUUUCAUUUUUAUUCAAUAAAUAAUAUUUCCC
rnacentral:lncRNA from 1 species